rnacentral:rRNA from 1 species
UACGUAGGGUGCAAGCGUUGUCCGGAAUUACUGGGCGUAAAGCGUGCGCAGGCGGUUUUGUAAGCCAGAUGUGAAAUCCCCGGGCUUAACCUGGGAAUGGCAUUUGGGACUGCAAGGCUGGAGUACGGCAGAGGAGACUGGAAUUCCUGGUGUAGCAGUGAAAUGCGUAGAGAUCAGGAGGAAUACCGAUGGCGAAGGCAGGUCUCUGGGC